GACGAACGCUGGCGGCGUGCCUAAUACAUGCAAGUCGAACGAACUCUGGUAUUGAUUGGUGCUUGCAUCAUGAUCUACAUUUGAGUGAGUGGCGAACUGGUGAGUAACACGUGGGAAACCUGCCCAGAAGCGGGGGAUAACACCUGGAAACAGAUGCUAAUACCGCAUAACAACUUGGACCGCAUGGUCCGAGUUUGAAAGAUGGCUUCGGCUAUCACUUUUGGAUGGUCCCGCGGCGUAUUAGCUAGAUGGUGAGGUAACGGCUCACCAUGGCAAUGAUACGUAGCCGACCUGAGAGGGUAAUCGGCCACAUUGGGACUGAGACACGGCCCAAACUCCUACGGGAGGCAGCAGUAGGGAAUCUUCCACAAUGGACGAAAGUCUGAUGGAGCAACGCCGCGUGAGUGAAGAAGGGUUUCGGCUCGUAAAACUCUGUUGUUAAAGAAGAACAUAUCUGAGAGUAACUGUUCAGGUAUUGACGGUAUUUAACCAGAAAGCCACGGCUAACUACGUGCCAGCAGCCGCGGUAAUACGUAGGUGGCAAGCGUUGUCCGGAUUUAUUGGGCGUAAAGCGAGCGCAGGCGGUUUUUUAAGUCUGAUGUGAAAGCCUUCGGCUCAACCGAAGAAGUGCAUCGGAAACUGGGAAACUUGAGUGCAGAAGAGGACAGUGGAACUCCAUGUGUAGCGGUGAAAUGCGUAGAUAUAUGGAAGAACACCAGUGGCGAAGGCGGCUGUCUGGUCUGUAACUGACGCUGAGGCUCGAAAGUAUGGGUAGCAAACAGGAUUAGAUACCCUGGUAGUCCAUACCGUAAACGAUGAAUGCUAAGUGUUGGAGGGUUUCCGCCCUUCAGUGCUGCAGCUAACGCAUUAAGCAUUCCGCCUGGGGAGUACGGCCGCAAGGCUGAAACUCAAAGGAAUUGACGGGGGCCCGCACAAGCGGUGGAGCAUGUGGUUUAAUUCGAAGCUACGCGAAGAACCUUACCAGGUCUUGACAUACUAUGCAAAUCUAAGAGAUUAGACGUUCCCUUCGGGGACAUGGAUACAGGUGGUGCAUGGUUGUCGUCAGCUCGUGUCGUGAGAUGUUGGGUUAAGUCCCGCAACGAGCGCAACCCUUAUUAUCAGUUGCCAGCAUUAAGUUGGGCACUCUGGUGAGACUGCCGGUGACAAACCGGAGGAAGGUGGGGAUGACGUCAAAUCAUCAUGCCCCUUAUGACCUGGGCUACACACGUGCUACAAUGGAUGGUACAACGAGUUGCGAACUCGCGAGAGUAAGCUAAUCUCUUAAAGCCAUUCUCAGUUCGGAUUGUAGGCUGCAACUCGCCUACAUGAAGUCGGAAUCGCUAGUAAUCGCGGAUCAGCAUGCCGCGGUGAAUACGUUCCCGGGCCUUGUACACACCGCCCGUCACACCAUGAGAGUUUGUAACACCCAAAGUCGGUGGGGUAACCUUUUAGGAACCAGCCGCCUAAGGUGGGACAGAUGAUUAGGGUG
rnacentral:rRNA from 1 species